ACAUGCAAGUGCGAGCGGUAAGGCCCUUCGGGGUACACGAGCGGCGAACGGGUGAGUAACACGUGAGCAACCUGCCCCUGACUCCGGGAUAAGCCGGGGAAACCCGGUCUAAUACCGGAUGGGACGCCUCGUCGCAUGGCGGGGUGUGGAAAGGUGUCUUUCCGGUCAGGGAGGGGCUCGCGGCCUAUCAGCUUGUUGGUGGGGUGAAGGCCUACCAAGGCGAUUACGGGUAGCCGGCCUGAGAGGGCGACCGGCCACACUGGGACUGAGACACGGCCCAGACUCCUACGGGAGGCAGCAGUGGGGAAUAUUGCGCAAUGGGCGGAAGCCUGACGCAGCGACGCCGCGUGGGGGAUGACGGCCUUCGGGUUGUAAACCUCUUUUACCACCGACGCAGGCCCGCGCUUCUGUGCGGGUUGACGGUAGGUGGGGAAUAAGGACCGGCCAACUACGUGCCAGCAGCCGCGGUAAUACGUAGGGUCCGAGCGUUGUCCGGAAUUAUUGGGCGUAAAGAGCUCGUAGGUGGCGUGUCGCGUCUGCUGUGUAAGUCCGGGGCUUAACUCCGGUUUUGCAGUGGAUACGGGCAUGCUAGAGGUAGGCAGGGGAGACUGGAAUUCCUGGUGUAGCGGUGAAAUGCGCAGAUAUCAGGAGGAACACCGGUGGCGAAGGCGGGUCUCUGGGCCUUACCUGACGCUGAGGAGCGAAAGCGUGGGGAGCGAACAGGAUUAGAUACCCUGGUAGUCCACGCUG
rnacentral:rRNA from 1 species